CCUCGUGUUGCUGCGCACGGGGGGGGCAUUAACCUGAACUAAACUGAAUCAACCCACACGAAUCGGGACUGGACUAAGAGAGACAAAGCUAAAGAGUUGCAGUUCAUGUCAUGCCAUAGUUGAGUGUUUAUGCCAUGCCAUGCCAUGCCAUGCCUAAGUUAGAUGAGUGUCUCCUACCAUAGUUUAAGGAGGGUCUAUGUCUUGGAUUAAAGAACAUUCAUGUGCUUACUUCCUGUCCAAGUCUCGUUUCGUGUUUCCCUGCCCGAGCAGGGAAGUAGCAGGAGAGCACCUGGUCGGGAGGUGCGCGGACUACUGGCCGCAGUACAAGUCCGUGCAGUUUCCACAGAGGAUGGCUGCUGAACUCCCGCUGGAAACGUAUGGGUGGGGAUCCCACCCGCUGCUGUUCCUGUUUCACAGCCAGGUAUACUUUGCAAGCCUGGCGGCCCCCAAGCCUACCUGGAAACAGUGGCUGGGCUUCCUAGUAUCCCGGUUUUUUGGCCCGGCCUGGGAUUGGGCAGAGCAGCUGACCCAUUCAGGGUCCAGUGCCCUCUGUGAUGUCACCCAGUUCUCAGAACUUUUUCUGAAGGAGUUCUCGCAGUUGGGGCAAUCAAACCGCCUGGAUGUAUUGGAGAGGGUAAUCGAAGUAAUGGACAGGGAGGACUGGCCAUUCCACCUCUAUUAUACAUGGCUGGACCGGAUGGAAGCAGCAGCAUCACUUCAGGUUCCGGUCGAUGCUGUGGAGCUCCAGCCCGAGGUUAACAUGGCAACCUCUGGGCUCCCGUCUGAGGUCAACAUGGCGGCCUCAGAUCUCCAGCUUGAGACCUACGGGGAGGUCUCAGCUGUGGCGCUUCAGCCUGAGGUUAACAGGGCAACCUCUGGGCCCUCGUUGGAGGUCAACCCGGUGACCUCGGAGCUCUGGCCGGAGGCCUACGGCGAAGUCUCGGCUGUGGAGCUCCUGCCGGAGGUCAACCCGGCCGAGGAGGCUGUCCCGCUGUCCAGCCGGUGACCUCGGAGCUCCGGCCGGAGACCUCCGGGGAGGUCUCAUAUGCCGAGGAGUCUGUCCCGCUGUCCUGCCCCACAGAGGACGUCCCUCUGCCUUCCUGCACCGCUGAGUACACCG
ensembl:lncRNA